CCACAACGGUGGAGCCUGCGGUUUAAUUGGACUCAACGCCGGGCAGCUCACCGGAUAAGACAGCUGGAUGAUAGCCGGGCUGAAGACUCUGCUUGACUAGCUGAGAGGAGGUGCAUGGCCGUCGUCAGUUCGUACUGUGAAGCAUCCUGUUAAGUCAGGCAACGAGCGAGACCCACGCCAACAGUUGCCAGCAUGUCCUCCGGGAUGAUGGGGACACUGUUGGGACCGCCUCUGCUAAAGAGGAGGAAGGAAUGGGCAACGGUAGGUCAGCAUGCCCCGAAUUAUCUGGGCUACACGCGGGCUACAAUGGGUGGGACAGUGGGUAUCGACACCGAAAGGUGAAGGCAAUCUCCUAAACCCAUCCGUAGUUCGGAUUGUGGGCUGCAACUCGCCCACAUGAAGCUGGAAUCUGUAGUAAUCGUGUCUCAAAAUGGCACGGUGAAUAUGUCCCUGCUCCUU
rnacentral:rRNA from 1 species